rnacentral:rRNA from 1 species
UACGUAGGGUGCGAGCGUUAAUCGGAAUUACUGGGCGUAAAGUGUGCGCAGGCGGCCGAGCAAGUCGAGUGUGAAAGCCCCGAGCUUAACUUGGGAACUGCGCUCGAAACUACUUGGCUAGAGUGUGGCAGAGGGAGGUGGAAUUCCACGUGUAGCGGUGAAAUGCGUAGAGAUGUGGAGGAACACCGGUGGCGAAGGCGGGACUCUGGGCCGAUACUGACGCUGAGGAGCGAAAGCGUGGGGAGCAAACAGG